rnacentral:rRNA from 1 species
UACGUAGGGCGCAAGCGUUAUCCGGAAUUAUUGGGCGUAAAGAGCUCGUAGGCGGUUUGUCGCGUCUGCCGUGAAAGUCCGGGGCUCAACUCCGGAUCUGCGGUGGGUACGGGCAGACUAGAGUGAUGUAGGGGAGACUGGAAUUCCUGGUGUAGCGGUGAAAUGCGCAGAUAUCAGGAGGAACACCGAUGGCGAAGGCAGGUCUCUGGGCUAUAACUGACGCUGAGGAGCGAAAGCAUGGGGAGCGAACAGG